rnacentral:rRNA from 1 species
UGAGUACGAGCUGCUACGGCAGCGAAGUGGGUGAUGUCAAGCUUCCAAGAAAAGCCCUAUACCCGUUAAGGCAUGACGGCCUGUACCCGAAACCGACACAGGUGGGGUGGUAGAGAAUACCGAGGGGCGCGAGAUAACUCUCUCUAAGGAACUCGGCAGAAUGGCCCCGUAACUUCGGGAGAAGGGGUGCCACCGCAAGGUGGUCGCAGUGAAGAGGCCCAGGCGACUGUUUACCAAAAACACAGGUCUCCGCUAAGUCGCAAGACGAUGUAUGGGGGCUGACGCCUGCCCAGUGCCGGAAGGUUAAGGAAGCUGGUCAGCGCAAGCGAAGCUAGCGACUGAAGCCCCGGUGAACGGCGGCCGUAACUAUAACGGUCCUAAGGUAGCGAAAUUCCUUGUCGGGUAAGUACCGACUCGCACGAAAGGCGUAACGAUCUGGGCGCUGUCUCGGAGAGAGGCUCGGCGAAAUAGAAUUGUCUGUGAAGAUGCGGACUACGUGCACCCGGACAGAAAGACCCUAUGAAGCUUUACUGUAGCUUGGUAUUGUGCCCGGGCUCUGAAUGCGCAGGAUAGGUGGGAGGCUUUGAUCCAUUGCUUGUGGGUAAUGGUGAGCCACUGGUGAGAUACCACUCUUUCAGAGCUAGGGUUCUAAUGGUCACCCGUUAUCCGGGGACCGGACAGUAUCAGGGGUGCAGUUUGACUGGGGCGGUCGCCUCCUAAAAGGUAACGGAGGCGCGCAAAGGUUCCCUCAGGCUGGUUGGAAAUCAGCCGACGAGUGUAAAGGCAGAAGGGAGCUUGACUGUGAGACCUACAAGUCGAACAGGGACGAAAGUCGGCCUUAGUGAUCCGACGGUUCUGAGUGGAAGGGCCGUCGCUCAACGGAUAAAAGUUACUCUAGGAUAACAGGCUGAUCUCCCCCAAGAGUUCACAUCGACGGGGAGGUUUGGCACCUCGAUGUCGGCUCAUCGCAACCUGGGGCUGAAGUCGGUCCCAAGGGUUGGGCUGUUCGCCCAUUAAAGCGGUACGCGAGCUGGGUUCAGAACGUCGCGAGACAGUUCGGUCCAUAUCCGGUGCACGCGCAGGAACAUUGAGAGGAUUUCUCCCUAGUACGAGAGGACCGGGAGGAACGCACCUCUGGUGUACCAGUUAUCGUGCCAACGGUAAACGCUGGGUAGCCAUGUGCGGAGCGGAUAACCGCUGAAAGCAUCUAAGUGGGAAGCCCACCUCAAGAUGAGUGUUCCCAUGGCAUAAGCCAGUAAGGUCACGGGAAGAACACCCGUUGAUAGGCUCUACGUGGAAGCGUGGCAACACGUGAAGCGGAGGAGUACUAAUAGACCGAGGGCUAGAC